rnacentral:snoRNA from 1 species
GUGACGAAUCCAGGCUAGCCGACUUAUGACGACGGAUCUAAACGCCGA